AUGGUCAGCGAGCAGACGCCGGUGGCCACCGAGCCGGAGCUGGAGAGCGGCGACGCGGCGCCGGAGGUCAUCAAGGCCGAGGAGCCCGCAGAGGACGGCGCGCCCGUCGUCGAGGACGUCAAGGAGGGCGACGGUGACGAGGAGGAGGAGGAGGACGAGGAUGACGACGAGGACGACGAGGAUGAAGACGGCGAGCUGGGUGUGGCCGGGAGCGAGGGGUCGAAGCAGAGCCGGAGCGAGAAGAAGAGCCGCAAGGCCAUGAUGAAGCUGGGGAUGAAGCCCGUCACCGGCGUCAGCAGGAUCACCAUCAAGAGAGCCAAGAACAUCCUGUUCGUGGUGUCGAAGCCGGACGUGUUCAAGAGCCCGACGUCGGAGACGUACGUGAUCUUCGGGGAGGCCAAGAUCGAGGACCUGAGCUCGCAGCUGCAGGCGCAGGCGGCGCAGCAGUUCAGGAUGCAGGACCUGAGCAAGGCGAUGAGGCCCGACGCGGCGGCGGCCGGGGCGCCCGCCGACGAGGAGGAGGUGGUGGACGAGACCGGCAUCGAGGCCCGCGACAUCGACCUCGUCAUGACGCAGGCCAGCGUCUCCCGCGCCAAGGCCGUCAAGGCCCUCAAGGCGCACGACGGCGACAUCGUCAGCGCCAUCAUGGAGCUCACCGCCUAG
rnacentral:rRNA from 1 species